rnacentral:rRNA from 1 species
UACGUAGGUGGCAAGCGUUGUCCGGAAUUAUUGGGCGUAAAGCGCGCGCAGGCGGUCCUUUAAGUCUGAUGUGAAAGCCCACGGCUCAACCGUGGAGGGUCAUUGGAAACUGGGGGACUUGAGUGCAGGAGAGAAGAGUGGAAUUCCACGUGUAGCGGUGAAAUGCGUAGAUAUCUGGAGGAACACCGGUGGCGAAGGCGGCAUCCUGGACCGACACUGACACUGAGGAGCGAAAGCCAGGGGAGCAAACGGG